UAUGGGUUGCCUGGGUCAUACUCAAGGCUUUAUUCCUCUUUUGCCAGUGAGCUGACUUAUAUUGUGAAGCAGAGACUUAAUUAUAAAGCGAGUUAAGAUUUGACCCUCACCUUUAGUGGCUUGAUGUUGGAUAUCUCAAGUGAUUUGACCCAGACUCAUCAGGUUCUAGGACAGCAGCUGUUGUCACUGAGCAAUUCAUUGUGACUUCUGCCUUAAAACCUCCUUUAAUGGGAAGAGCAGAACCAUGUUGUCAUCUUGGCUAUCAAUCCUAAGCAGAAGAAUGCUAAUGGGAAUUCCAGGAUUAAAUAGGAAACACAAGGCCUGAAAACAUCAGCUAAUGCUUCAAAAGGACUCUCCCUUCACCCCACCCUUAAAAUUGACAUGGUGCAUAGAUAACUUCAGCAUGCAACAGACGCUUUGAAGAGAGGGAGAAAAUUGGUGGCAGUAACUGUGGAUGGAUCACUUGCAUGAAGAUCAGCAAACGUGUCCAUUCUAUUUAGUUUGUUUAAUUUCUUUAAGUUCUUUCUUUACUAGUCUUACAGAUUACAUAGAAGUAAGUCAUUGUUGAAUUUUAACAAAAUGGCCGGCCAAAAUGUAUGCAUAAGUUAAUGAUUUGCUAGCUUCUGAGUAAAAUUUACUUUUAGAAUGGUGUAACUUUAAUAAUUAGGUAUGGUUCUAUGUGAUGGAUAGGAUCAUGUUACAAUGUAAUGAUCAUUUCAGUGAAUAAAUAAUCUUU